UUUUCAGUUCAGACUUUUGGCACAAAUGUGGCGUGGGCUGGUGGUGUCAACUGAAGGGGCGUGGCAUCAUGGAUGAGAGCAUAACAAAGAAGGCUGGGGACGUUCCUCAAUCACGUUGCCUUCAGGAAACGUAGGUACUGCAAGAAGUACAGCUGGACCAUUCAUACACACCAUUUUUAUGUGAUUUCAUUUCAUUUAAAAAACUGAUGCCAGUGACAAUAUUGCAUGUAGCAAGCUGUUUUAGGCCGGGCUUGGUACUAAUCAGCAGCAUAAUUGCAAUAAACUAUGCCAGUUUGUGCAGUUAAACAGCCAUACCUUCAGUUUUGCCAUUUCCCACUUUCCCGCAUGACUGUGAUCGCAGCGCAGUAGAAUUUAGCUAUGGCGUCCGCUCCACCGAGACAACCUGCUGGCACCAGCACUCAGGUAAGAAACGUUUGCGUUUUUUUAACAUGCUCUUGUAAAUUGUUAUAAUGAUUAAAGUGAUUGGUACCACAUCACAGGGACAUAUAUAAGGGAAAAGACGUGAUAGGUUUGGGAUUUGCAGAAAGUGGAAACAAAUAGCAUCAACAAACUUUAUGCUAUUAGCUAAUGUCAGAGAAUUUUACUCCUCAGUGUCCAGCUCAAGUUUUGACUUUGUGAAUAUCUUUGUUUGCCAGAAUGUCGACUAUAAUUCUACAGUGGCUGCAGCUGCACAGUCUUAUAAAUGUGCUCACACAGAACCUCUCUCAGGGACAGCAAGAUAAAGAAAAAAAGCCAGAACAGUGAUCGUCCUCUGUAGAACAGGAGAUGGCCAAGUUUUAGAUUUGAUGAGAUUUUAUUUUGCAUGAUUCAUAUUCAUAGUUUGACUUAUGUUAAAAUGUACAUAAAUAAAUGCAUAUGUUGUUGUUUUUUGAUCACACAGAUCUUUCCCUGGGUUUUUCGUAAAAAAAAGUUUCUUGGGAAAGCGAAAGAUUCAGACUCUAAAGACCAAUGGCACACCAUAUACGAAAACCUGGAAGCCUUUUGUUUUCUAUACUUACCUGCUGAACAUUAAUUCAGAGACAACCCCAACCUCCUCUGAAGAGUUUGAUCUUACCCAGGCAGGACUUGGGAAAAGACAGCUCACCAUGUCCAGGGAUAUUAGCCAUGAAGAGAUCUUGGCCCUCCAUGUUCAGGAGUGCAUGUAGUCUCAAGCAGGAUCUGAAAAUAUUGAGACAUGCCAAAGUGAGGUCCAGAUAGUUAAUGUGACACCCCCCUGUGCACUGUGACACAGAGACAUCUGUUGAUGAGAAGUUUCCAUGUCCUAUCUGUUUCGUGAAAUUCACACCACAGUUCCUAGAGAUCCAUGCUAGCAUGUGUGGAGACAGGGGAAAGGAAGAUUGUAGGAUGGCUGAGACAACUGCCAUGAGCCAGGGCAAUGGAGAAGAGCAGAUCAAAGGGUUAAUACUGUGUUGUAGAUAAUACAUACAUUUCUUCUUCCUACAAGGAUCUUCAUUCUACAGAGCUUUUGUAUUCAGUUUGAGUCAUUUACAUGUCUUAAUUAUGAGUUUUGUUUGGCAUGUUGAUGAUGUAUUGGACACAAUUUAUUGAAGAGUAGACGUAGAGAAACAGUUUAACAUCCAAAUCUCAAGAACAAACAUUCUGGAGAGAGCCCUUCUGCAGUGGCAACGUCAAAAGAAAAAUUCACCCACUGCUACUCUGAGAGUGACCUUCUUUCGGGGGGCAGGAGUGGACACAGGUGCUUUCCGAAAAUAAUUUCUCAUAAAAUGAAUACUAACAUAUACACCAAUUGCAUUAUAAUACAGUAUAGACUAUUAUAAAACAAGUGGCAAAUCAUCAUUGAAACAGUUUCAGAUUUCAGCUUAUGAAUGAUCUGUCAUAAUGUAUGAAGACAUUUUACACACACAGUAAAUGCUGUUUUUCACUUCUGUGUAGAAAUGGUGGCAGGAAUUGAGGGUUGCUUCUUUUAGGGACCAGAACACCAGAAGACCCCACGAUACUCUCUGACUGACUUUGACAGUGGCCUCUACAGGUAUUUUUUUUUUCAAGUAAAUGGCAGACUAUUUUUUUGUCACAUUUUUUAAUCCAUUGUAUCUCAUACUGUCAUGUUCAAUUCGUGUAAACAGGACUGUUGGAGAGAUUUUUGUUAGUUUGGCACAAGGUGGCCCGGCCCCUACCUUUUUUAGCCCAUGGACUUACAGUUACCUCUGUAAUGGGCAGAUAAAUCCGACCGUUCUCAAAAGUGAUGCAGUGGCAGAUGUCCAGAUGCGAGGGAGGGUUAAUUGACCAGGUAUGACCUCUUUAAGAUGGAAAUGCUGGGUUAAUGAAAAAAACCUAUCUUGUCAAAUGAUACUGUAGUAAGUUUACAUGGAAUAUGGAACGUUGUCUUCCAAUUUCUUAAAAAAUUUCUGGUUGAUUUGUCAACUGAGGAUUCCAUUCAAGGCCUGUCAGAUGAAAUCUUAAAUUGCGGAUAUACUGGAGCCAUUAUUCGGCAUGCAAGGACAAGUAUUUCUGUUCAUAUUGAAAAAUAUAAUUCACGAGUAAGGUUUUGUAGGAAAUGUUUUCCUUUCUACUUACCACGCAGUGCUGAGGUUGCAGCCUAUGUUGGAACAACUAAGGGAAGGCCUGCAGCUCUAUGACCUUCUUUUGCUAAUGAGGCAUUACCCAGAAAUCUGCUAGCCCCUGUUUGUUCCUCAGGAAGAUGCAAAAGUGAGAAAAACAAGAGUGAACAUUUAUUAUAUACUCAAUAACAACAAACACUUACAUGCUAAGAAAUUUCAUAAUUAAAGGGUCAUUUGAUUAACAUCUUGAUUUUAUCUCAUCAUAGGUCAAUGCAAAGUUUGUCAUGAUAUCCAUUGUCCCUCAACUGAGUGCCAAAGGUACUACCAGGCAUCAGGUUGAGAUGGAGAUUAUGAACUUCAUUCAGGACUUCCUCUAUGAGGCUGAAUGUAUAUAGUUUUUUCUUAUUGAAAAUUUGAGGGUUUUGAUGACAAAUACUUGAAAUUUAUGGCAGCCCGCUGCCACCUGUAGUUAUACUCGUAUUCAGGUUAAAGUUUUAUUCUCCAUAAAAAAAUCUUGAUGAAGGCAAUAGGUAUUAUGUACCAGGGUCCAUUGUGUUUUUAAUUCAGAGGCCAAUUCUGUUACAUUCUAUGUAGAAAGAAGUGUACUUUUGCAAGAUCUCGCAAAAGCUCUAAUGUAGCUAAUGCUAACUGCUAAUAAUUUUAAACAGGACUGCCAAGUCAAUACACUUUGCAACGAGUAUCCUGUUGCAUCAAUAGUUCAGAUGUCUCUCACUUAUGUUAAAACCGUGUCUACUGCCAAGCACUUUUCUUAUUGUCUUAUUUCUUGUUUUCUUAUUUCUUUAUAUUUGUUGUCAAUCUCAAAAUCAAACUCUAUACACCUCUCCCACGGGUGUGUGCGUUCCACUGUUUUGUCUGUGGAGAUUCUCAUUCAUCCAGGUAAAAGUUUUCUGCGAGGCUGUUGAAUUAUGAGCAAUUGGACUUGGUUGUAAUUUCUUGAAGACGUUACACCUUCAUCAAGAAGCUUAUUCGGUUUGGUAUACAAAUUUAAGAAAUGUCAACCAAGUAACUCUGUUAAACUGUUUGGUUUCUGUUCCAUGCUGAACUGACCCAGAAGCACAUUGAAAGUUUAUUGAUCUCUCGCAAAAACUACAUAUCUCUUUUUUUUUCUCCAUGUCCUCCUCGGGGCUCCGUGAAAAAAAAGCAUUGAUCACAGAAGGGAAAAAAUGUGUUCUAAUAUUAUUAUAAUUGUUAUUAAAGUAUUUCCAUAUUAAGGUUCCUGAUACAACAUUACAUUUUCUGCCCGAUGCACAUUUGGCUUCAGGACCUUUCAUUGAACAUAUCUGCUAUUUUUUUCUUUCCUUUUUUUUCCACAGGAAAAAAAUCAAAUCCCGAUAUCUCAAGGUAGCAGCAGCUAAAAUCGAAACAUAAUCGAGGUAAUCCAGGUUUUGACUCUCUCCAAGUCAGCAGCCUAAUGUAUUUCUGUCUCAGGUGAUUGAAUAGGUGGUCCCUGUUGAUAUGGCAAGCCCUUCCACUCACUCACUGAGCUGUUCCUGAGUGUCGAAAUCCAUGAUUAAAAAAAUAAAUAAAUAAAAGAGAGAGAAGAAAAGAUUAAUGAGAUCCCCGACAAUGUGUUGCAGUGUGGAAACCGUAAAAUAAAAAGGCCAAUGUCAUCAGAGGUAUUCAGAGGGAAAGAUCAAGCUGGUACUGCCUGAAUCCAGUCCACAAUAGGUAUCCUGAAAGAAAUUUUGCUCUAGAAAGGGACUAAAUUAUGUUCAUGGGACUAUAAUUAAAUAUUCAC